UACGGAGGGUGCAAGCGUUGUCCGGAUUUAUUGGGUUUAAAGGGUGCGUAGGCGGCCCGUUAAGUCAGUGGUGAAAGCCUCCAGCUCAACUGGAGAACUGCCAUUGAUACUGGCGGGCUUGAGUACAGACGAGGUUGGCGGAAUUGAUUGUGUAGCGGUGAAAUGCAUAGAUACAAUCAAGAACACCGAUUGCGUAGGCAGCUAACUACAGGGGCAUUGACACUGAUGCACGAAAGCGUGGGGAUCAAACAGG
rnacentral:rRNA from 1 species